GUGGGGAAUAUUGGGCAAUGGGGGAAACCCUGACCCAGCAACGCCGCGUGAGGGAAGAAGGUCUUCGGAUUGUAAACCUUUGUCCUAUGGGACGAAAGAAAUGACGGUACCAUAGGAGGAAGCUCCGGCUAACUACGUGCCAGCAGCCGCGGUAAUACGUAGGGAGCAAGCGUUGUCCGGAAUUACUGGGCGUAAAGGGUGCGUAGGUGGUCAAGUAAGUCAGAUGUGAAAGACCGGGGCUCAACCCCGGGGUUGCAUUUGAAACUGUUUGACUUGAGUACAGGAGAGGGAAGUGGAAUUCCUAGUGUAGCGGUGAAAUGCGUAGAUAUUAGGAGGAACACCAGUGGCGAAGGCGACUUUCUGGACUGUAACUGACACUGAGGCACGAAAGCGUGGGGAGCAAACAGGA
rnacentral:rRNA from 1 species